UUUAAAAAUAAAUUCAUUAUUUUAUUUAAAUAAUUCUUUCGAAUUUGGCACUUGGUCUCAUAAAUACUAAUAUGGUAACAUUGCUACUAUUCAGUAAUAUGAGCUUUUCUCAACAUCUGCAUCCAAGAGAACUGUGUUUCUCUAUUUCCUUGAUGUUUAUGACGGACAUAAACAUUUCUCUAACACAGAAAUGUGUAUGGAAGUGACAUAUGUCACUUCUGAGCGGGACCAUAGAAUCGCCAAGGUGGAAGUUUCCAGAUUUUGGCUUCUCUGCCAGUCUUGGUCAUUUAGUGAAAUCAGAGUAGAAGGGUGUUCCUAGUUUACCACAACAGAUAAGCAUAGAAUGAUCAAGGAAUAGACCUUCAUUGUCAUAGGCUGCUGAAACUGGAGAUUGGGUUGAUAGCUUGGCAUCACUUAACUUACCCUGACUAAUACCCUUAAAAGGAAUUAAAUUUAGUAGUGUGAAAUAAAUAACAAGUCAUAGUAAAUCAUAGAUUCUGCUCAACUCUCCUCUUCUAGGGUAGGAAAAAAGACAACAUAUAUUGUGAGAGUAUACACUUGGGCACUAAAAUUAUCUCUAAUUGUCAAAGUAUUUUCCUAAUUUGGAGGAGGUAAUUGGUCUUCCAUUCUCUCUCCCAUAUGGGUGAAAGCUGGACCUCUCUAUAAUCAAGCAACAGUCUUAUUUUCUGAGUAGUUUUGAGAAUCUUCUAGAAAAAUCAGAGGUUUAACUGAAAUUAUAAGUUAAAAAGGAAAAUAUAGAUAAGGUAAACUUCAAGACUAAGGUAAGAGAUGAUUAUAAUUAGGACAUAGCUAAUACUAAUUCUUAUUAGCCAUUUACCAAUCUAUACCUCUACUGCAGGGCUUUUUGGGUACUUGAAUACUCAUUGUGGAUUUCUAAAAAUGGAAUUAUUGGCAAAGUCAAAGGCCCAAUAAUUUCUAUGAAAUGUUAUCUCACCCUAAUCUGUGCUUCAGUAAAAAUGGUAUUUCCUCUUAAAAAAAAAAGUAUCAUUACAGAGAAAAUUUCCUUCAACAAUCAUUUCUUUUUCAGAGCAUGUUUCUGAAAAAGUCACAGAAAAUUUUUCAAAUGCUUUUUUUUUUUUUUACUACAUUCAUGGUUGUCCUUAAAUGUCAUAUUCCCACUUUUUCUCAUUCUAAAAUGUUUCCUGAUGGGGAGAAAGGAGGAGCUGAGUUAAAUUCCUUGGAAAUUGUACAGCAUCCUGCAUUAAAGUCUUGUUGUGUGUUGAAUACCAAAUUCCAUCCUCCACCCAUCAGGACAUUAAUCAUAUGUUGCCUCCUGCCUUUCCAGAGCAUAGCUUCAGUCCUGAUUUCUCUAUUUGGUUAAUAUUUAAUGGUCUACUUUACUCAACAAUUGUUUAUUGCAUACCUGGCAUAGGCUAGACUCUGUUAAGUACCACAAAUGAACCUUAUUCUGAAAAAUUCCAUUAUUUAUCAUAGAAUAUAAUUGACUUCAAUAUGCUAUUAAAAAUAAGUAUCUUCAAAUGCUUUGCAUACCGCAACAAUAAAUUUAUUAAUGGGAUUCUAAAGAAUGAUCAGAAGUACAAAUUUGCAAGAUUUAUGUAAUAUUUAGAGAACUAUAUAUGAUCUGCUGUGGUUCAAAAUGCCCCAGGGAGACUUGGGAUAUAGGACUUACCUAAGAAUAUUUCUUGAUAUAAAAUAAAAACUACUUUAUAAUCUCACUUUAAAAGAAACACUUCAGGCAAUUAAAGAUAGAAAAUAACUGGAGAUCAUUGAAACUCACUAAGAAAUAUGUGCUGGAAAUUUUGACCACAAAUGGUCCCACUAAGAGGCAGAUUGGAAUAUAGUAAGGUGGAGGAAAGAGGCCAUAGUGGAGUUAAGUAGAGAAAGAAACAUUUAUUGAUCACAUAGGUUUUUUUAGACACUUUUAUUGUAUUUUACACAUAUGAUCACAUUUCCUAUUCACAACCAGCUGGUCAAGUAGGCAUUAUAAUUCUCAUUUGACAAACAUGUCCAAAGGGCUCUUGAAUGAAAAGAUGAAAGCCAACCAUUUUUCUUAAAUUAUGAACCCAAGCCCAUUUUCAGAAAAUAAACUGUUAAAUAAUCUGUUGUUUUUACUUAUGAUAUACAGUUAUAAUUUGGUUUUGUAAGUUUUACCUUUCUUGCAAACUUGCUGUAACCCAGGGUAUUGAAUUUCAAUGAAAAGAAGUUAGAGCUGUAUAUUUUCUUGAGAGUAAAACAUUUUAUGGAAAUGGUAAAUGGUAGUGUAAAUAUAUCUACACUAUAGAUAUAUAAGCUUUUUUAGUUAAUCAUAUUUGAGGAAAUACUUGUGGCCUUAAAUUAACCUAAAGCAGACUUGGAAGGAUAGGACUAGAAGUUACUUUCUUGGAGUUCCCGUCAUGGCUCAGUGGUUAACGAAUCCGACUAGGAACCAUGAGAUUGCAUGUUAGAUCCCUGCCCUCUCUCAGUGGAUUAAGAAUCUGAUGUUGCCAUGGGCUGUGGUGUUGGUCGCAGAUGCGGCUCAGAUCCCACGUUGCUGUGGCCCUGGCGUAGGCUGGCAGCUACAGCUCCGAUUAGACCCCUAGCCUGGGAACCUCCAUAUGCCACGGGUGCAGCCCUAGAAAAUACAAAAAAAAAAAAAAAAAGUUACUUUCUUAAAUGUACUCCUUGAUCUGAGAGUAUUUCCGUAAAAACAACUCAGUCCUGUUGUUUCUCCAUCUUAUUUUUUUUUUUUUCCUGGCUAAUACGUCUUGCUGUCAUAGUCAGUAGGACAGGAAAAAUUACUGUUAAAUGUGUGACAUUAUUUAAAUCAGUGUGAAAAUGAUUCCCUAGUAAACAUCCACCUAAAAUCUUUCUCUCUCUCGCAACAACAUUCACAGAUGUAUAAACAUUUUGGCUAUCGGAAAACCUCGUGCUGCUUUUACAUCUUAAGAUUGGGUAGUUUUAUAAUUCUUCUCAUUUUCUGCCUGCUUUUUCAGUCUCACAUUUUGCCAUCCUCAUUCACUGUCCCUAAUUUCAGCCUAUAGCACCUAGCCACAUCUAGGCAAUACAUUCUUUGUAUUCACCCAAACUUGACCAAGAAAGGUUUCAGUCCACCCUUCUUGUGUUGUAUUUCUUACUUAUUUUCAGUUAAUGAAUCACUAAAAUUGUUUUAUACAACUGGGACACACUGAUCAAUAUCUCACAGUAUGUACAAAUAUAAAGCAAUACAGCUGGCUGAUAAAAUCACCUAUAGAAAGGCAGUAUUCAGUGAUAGUUAAGGCUAUCUACUGCCUCAUCAUAAAAGGUAGCUUUCUGGCAGAAGCGUAAACAGCAACCAAGAGCAAAGUGGCAGAAGCACCUCCUCCCCAACUUAAUUGUCGUAAUCCACACAUUACCAAAGUAUAUCAGCUAAGCUGGGAAGAUGGAACAAUUUCUCAGGUGUUGUCUAUCUGAACUGCAGGAACAGUGCAUGAGCUCCUGCAGUCCAGAUUCUGCCUCUGACCACUUCAGUUCAGUAAGGUGUUCUGCUUCAGGGACAAGCACUUACUAGCCAGUGCUUAAAGAUCUGUUUGAGAUUACUGGCAAGUUUCGCCUGUACUAGUAUCUGUUUUUACAUGGUGGGACACAGAUGUUUGUGGGGUCUAAUCAAUACCUAGAAAAUGGUGUCAGGGAGUUCCCGCCAUGGACCAACAGAAACGAAUCUGACUAGUAUCCAUGAGGAUACAGGUUCGAUCCCUGGCCUCGCUCAGUGGGUUAAGGAUCUGGUGUUGCCUCAAGCUGUGGUGUAGAUUGCAGACAUGGCUUGGAUCUGGCAUUGCUGUGGCUGUGGCAUAGGCUGGUGGCUACAGCUCCAAUAAGACCCUUGCUUGGAAACUUCCAUAUACCAUGGGUAUGGCCCU
rnacentral:lncRNA from 1 species